CAAACCUGUGGAGCACAGGACAUGGGCAGUGUUGACGAUUUCGUCACGUAAAAAUAAAUGGCUAGAGUACUCAGACAACAUAUUUCAGUGUGUGUGGGGGAAGACUAGUAGAAAUAGAAGUGUUCAUUUAAAAAAAAAAAAAAGUGUAGAAUUUGUCCUUAAAACGGGAGGGGGUGACAACAACUGGGCAAGACCAGAAACAGAGGAAACUCUGAGGCAUCAGGAGCAACGUGGAAUUCGCAACAUUUCUGCUCCACUGGAUCUGUUACACCUUGGAUUUUGCUACGGGGAACGAUUGACGUCAGUGCAGAUCAUCAAUCAGAUGUAAGCGAGGCAAGCGUCAAAGGAUGACUUCUGCAAAAGGAAGGUCUGAGCUGAGAUUUGGACAUGGAAGCUCAGAGCCGAGCUGGAAAAAGGAUUACUAAUCUCUUCCGACUGUAUAGCGUACCUUCCAUCGCGUUGCUAACGUGAUUGUGAACUAUACCAUGUGCUGCCUCUGGUAAAUUUCCAUUCCACAUUAAUCUGAAAAAUGCAAUUGAAUUAAAGUGUCCCCGUCAAUCAGGUAGUACGU